CGUGUCGUGAGAUGUUGGGUUAAGUCCCGCAACGAGCGCAACCCUUAUUACUAGUUGCCAUCAUUAAGUUGGGCACUCUAGUGAGACUGCCGGUGAUAAACCGGAGGAAGGUGGGGAUGACGUCAAAUCAUCAUGCCCCUUAUGACCUGGGCUACACACGUGCUACAAUGGAUGGUACAACGAGUCGCCAACCCGCGAGGGUGCGCUAAUCUCUUAAAACCAUUCUCAGUUCGGAUUGCAGGCUGCAACUCGCCUGCAUGAAGUCGGAAUCGCUAGUAAUCGCGGAUCAGCACGCCGCGGUGAAUACGUUCCCGGGCCUUGUACACACCGCCCGUCACACCACGGAAGUUGGGAGUACCCAAAGUAGGUUGCCUAACCGCAAGGAGGGCGCUUCCUAAGGUAAGACCGAUGACUGGGGU
rnacentral:rRNA from 1 species